rnacentral:rRNA from 1 species
AGUAAUGCCUAGGAAUCUGCCUGGUAGUGGGGGAUAACGUUCGGAAACGGACGCUAAUACCGCAUACGUCCUACGGGAGAAAGCAGGGGACCUUCGGGCCUUGCGCUAUCAGAUGAGCCUAGGUCGGAUUAGCUAGUUGGUGAGGUAAUGGCUCACCAAGGCUACGAUCCGUAACUGGUCUGAGAGGAUGAUCAGUCACACUGGAACUGAGACACGGUCCAGACUCCUACGGGAGGCAGCAGUGGGGAAUAUUGGACAAUGGGCGAAAGCCUGAUCCAGCCAUGCCGCGUGUGUGAAGAAGGUCUUCGGAUUGUAAAGCACUUUAAGUUGGGAGGAAGAGCAGUUACCUAAUACGUGAUUGUUUUGACGUUACCGACAGAAUAAGCACCGGCUAACUCUGUGCCAGCAGCCGCGGUAAUACAGAGGGUGCAAGCGUUAAUCGGAAUUACUGGGCGUAAAGCGCGCGUAGGUGGUUUGUUAAGUUGGAUGUGAAAUCCCCGGGCUCAACCUGGGAACUGCAUUCAAAACUGACUGACUAGAGUAUGGUAGAGGGUGGUGGAAUUUCCUGUGUAGCGGUGAAAUGCGUAGAUAUAGGAAGGAACACCAGUGGCGAAAGGCGACCACCUGGACUAAUACUGACACUGAGGUGCGAAAGCGUGGGGAGCAAAC